AGCGAACGCUGGCGGCAGGCCUAACACAUGCAAGUCGAGCGCCGUAGCAAUACGGAGCGGCAGACGGGAGAGUAACACGUGGGAACGUGCCCUUUGGUUCGGAAUAACUCAGGGAAACUUGAGCUAAUACCGGAUAAGCCCUUACGGGGAAAGAUUUAUUGCCAUUGGAGCGGCCCGCGUCGGAUUAGCUAGUUGGUGAGGUAAUGGCUCACCAAGGCGACGAUCCGUAGCUGGUCUGAGAGGAUGACCAGCCUCACUGGGACUGAGACACGGCCCAGACUCCUACGGGAGGCAGCAGUGGGGAAUAUUGGGCAAUGGGCGCAAGCCUGAUCCAGCCAUGCCGCGUGGAUGAUGAAGGCCCUAGGGUUGUAAAGUCCUUUUAACGGGGAAGAUAAUGACGGUACCCGUAGAAUAAGCCCCGGCUAACUUCGUGCCAGCCGCCGCAGUAACAC
rnacentral:rRNA from 1 species